rnacentral:tRNA from 1 species
GUGACCCGUUAGCUCAGCUGGCAGAGCAUCUGCCUUUUAAGUAGUCACUCGUGUAUGCACUUGGCCCGAAAAAAUUGAAUACUGGACGGCCCU